rnacentral:lncRNA from 1 species
UUAAUUGACUUUCAUUGUAAUUUAGGAAGGUUUUAUUUCUCUUCUGUGAAGUUGCUGUUUUGGAGAUACUCGUUUUUCAUUGGACAGUGACAAUAUGCAUUUCUUAAUCACCCAGCACACUCUAUUUUUUUUUUUUUUUUAUUACAAAAGAUGUAAUUACUCAAUUUCUUGUGUGUGAAAGUGACCACUGCAGGACAGCAAAAAAUUCACUGCCAAAACUUCAGAACUGGAGCCCCCAUGCAUCUUUUUGAUCCCCUGCUUCAUACCCUGUAAGCCCUUGGUGAAAGCCUGUGUCUGCAGCAGUGCUGUGAUCUACUUCUGUGUCCUCCAGCCUCGCUCUCUGACUGGCCAGGGUCAGCGUGUAAUGGAGCAGAGCGCCUCGGUCAAUCCUCUGCUGCCUUACUGAAUUAAUGCUACAUGCCUGGUUAUGGCUCUGACUGACACCCGACCCCGAGAACAGUCUCAUUACCCCCUCAUAACACUCUACCUACAGGCGACACCAUCUUGACAGAUUCUGCCAUGCAUGGGAGGCAGAAAUGGAACCAACACCCUUGGCAGCAGGGCUGGACCAAACUCAUGGUGGAAGUGGGGAAGGAGGUAAAAGGCAUGGAGUCUGAAGGACAGUGUGAGGGUAGAAGGUGUUGCAUUUAAUUGGGUAAAAUAGCUCCAGAGCUCUACUGUUACACAAGGCUGACUAUAUGCAAAGCACUGCCUAUUAAUCACCGCACAAAAUGUCAGCGACAUCUUUGGGAGGAGCUCACUGUAUCGUCCAUAUACGCACAACAACUUUUCAAGGUUUUUUUUUUUCACCUUAAAAAAAUAUAUAAAAAACAACAAAAAAAAAAGCUUUCCUGACUGACAAAUUCCCUGUAAUUACGCUCAACUCCAAGUCAACUGCCAUACCCUGCCAUCACCGGCAUCUAAAAGGAGCUACUGUUUAUAAAGGCAGCUAGAAUGUCAAAAAGGCAAGCUGGCAACGUAUCUGACUGCACGAAAUGUGGCAUUUCUCACCUGUAGAUAGAAAUAAAGGAAAAAAAAAUAACCA